rnacentral:lncRNA from 1 species
GGGUAGUCAAAGCAUUGGCUUGCUCAUGAUUUAGUCAAGUUUCUUGAACCACGUAUUGUCCCCUAGGAUUACUCAUUGGUUGACUUGGAAACUUACCUUCCUCUCGCUUGUUUAAUGCAUUGGCUAGUUGACCCAUUUGGGAUUCUAGCUUAGCAAUUGAUUGCGUGUGAGAGUGCAAUAGUUGUGUGUUUGCCUCCAAACCUUGAAGGGCAGUCAACACUUUC